CGCUGGCGGCGUGCCUAAUACAUGCAAGUCGAACGCUUCUUUUUCCACCGGAGCUUGCUCCACCGGAAAAAGAGGAGUGGCGAACGGGUGAGUAACACGUGGGUAACCUGCCCAUCAGAAGGGGAUAACACUUGGAAACAGGUGCUAAUACCGUAUAACAAUCGAAACCGCAUGGUUUUGAUUUGAAAGGCGCUUUCGGGUGUCGCUGAUGGAUGGACCCGCGGUGCAUUAGCUAGUUGGUGAGGUAACGGCUCACCAAGGCCACGAUGCAUAGCCGACCUGAGAGGGUGAUCGGCCUCAUUGGGACUGAGACACGGCCCAAACUCCUACGGGAGGCAGCAGUAGGGAAUCUUCGGCAAUGGACGAAAGUCUGACCGAGCAACGCCGCGUGAGUGAAGAAGGUUUUCGGAUCGUAAAACUCUGUUGUUAGAGAAGAACAAGGAUGAGAGUAACUGUUCAUCCCUUGACGGUAUCUAACCAGAAAGCCACGGCUAACUACGUGCCAGCAGCCGCGGUAAUACGUAGGUGGCAAGCGUUGUCCGGAUUUAUUGGGCGUAAAGCGAGCGCAGGCGGUUUCUUAAGUCUGAUGUGAAAGCCCCCGGCUCAACCGGGGAGGGUCAUUGGAAACUGGGAGACUUGAGUGCAGAAGAGGAGAGUGGAAUUCCAUGUGUAGCGGUGAAAUGCGUAGAUAUAUGGAGGAACACCAGUGGCGAAGGCGGCUCUCUGGUCUGUAACUGACGCUGAGGCUCGAAAGCGUGGGGAGCAAACAGGAUUAGAUACCCUGGUAGUCCACGCCGUAAACGAUGAGUGCUAAGUGUUGGAGGGUUUCCGCCCUUCAGUGCUGCAGCUAACGCAUUAAGCACUCCGCCUGGGGAGUACGACCGCAAGGUUGAAACUCAAAGGAAUUGACGGGGGCCCGCACAAGCGGUGGAGCAUGUGGUUUAAUUCGAAGCAACGCGAAGAACCUUACCAGGUCUUGACAUCCUUUGACCACUCUAGAGAUAGAGCUUCCCCUUCGGGGGCAAAGUGACAGGUGGUGCAUGGUUGUCGUCAGCUCGUGUCGUGAGAUGUUGGGUUAAGUCCCGCAACGAGCGCAACCCUUAUUGUUAGUUGCCAUCAUUCAGUUGGGCACUCUAGCAAGACUGCCGGUGACAAACCGGAGGAAGGUGGGGAUGACGUCAAAUCAUCAUGCCCCUUAUGACCUGGGCUACACACGUGCUACAAUGGGAAGUACAACGAGUCGCGAAGUCGCGAGGCUAAGCUAAUCUCUUAAAGCUUCUCUCAGUUCGGAUUGCAGGCUGCAACUCGCCUGCAUGAAGCCGGAAUCGCUAGUAAUCGCGGAUCAGCACGCCGCGGUGAAUACGUUCCCGGGCCUUGUACACACCGCCCGUCACACCACGAGAGUUUGUAACACCCGAAGUCGGUGAGGUAACCUUUUGGAGCCAGCCGCCUAAGGUGGGAUAGAUGAUUGGGG
rnacentral:rRNA from 1 species